GCUCGCGCUGCUGCAGCCAGCCCCCGCGCCCCACCGGCGUGCGCUGCCGCCGCCCGUCCCAUGCGGAGCUCGCGCCGCCGCUCGACCCUGUGCUGCGCUCGCGUCCCCGCUGCUGAGCGAGCCUCCGCACGGAGGCGGAACUCGGGCCGCCGCUCCGCCCACUUGCUCGCGCGCUGCAGCCCUCCCCUGUGCGGAGUUCGCGCCGCCGCCCCAAGCAUCGCCGGCUUGUGCCGCUGCACCCCGUCCACCGCUCGCUAUCGUCGAUGCCCCCGCCGGAGCUCGUGCCGGAGCCGAGCGCGCCCGAGAUGCCUGCUCAUCACGGCGCCAGAUGCCAUCGAACAUGGACGGCUCGGUCCGCUCGAUUUUGCGGGAUCGAGUCGUCCCGGAUAUGAAGCACAUAUUCGCCUGGAGUUGGAGGGGAUGGCUCCGUUCCUACGCUCGCGAAGCAAACACAGGUCGGGACGGCGCUCCUGAACCGAAUACGAUCUUAUAAAGCAUCCACACCGUGUUGGUUUCCCCAAAUCCGAGCCACACCGAGCCCGAGAUUCCCCUUCAUCCCUAGAUUCCCAAAACCAUCCCCCACCCGCCUGCUUCAUCUCGCCGGAACUCUUCACAGAUCAACCUUUGGUGCAUCCCUCCUCAUCUAAAACGCGCCACUUAUCUUGCUCGGCGCGCGGAAUCAGUAGGGACAAGUUGCACGAUGUAAGUGCCUACUCGCUUGCUUGCUGUUAAUGGUAUUGCUCACGGAGCAGUUCGAUUCGAGUUUCUACUAUACGUCUAACUGCAGUGGGUUAAGUUCAGCCCGAAAUUAUCCAUUGUACCCCUCCUUAAUGAUAGCAUCUAAGCUAGUUAACUCUAUUUCAAUCUUAAAAUAACUCCUAAGCCAACAUCUAUAGACAAAUCAGGGCCUUUUUAUGUCUUUCAUUCUAAGCCAACACCUAUAGACAAAUCAGGGCCUUUUUAUGUCUUUCAUUCUGACUUCUCUUCUUUCUCAUCAUGUAUGUGGCAGUUUCUUACCAUCAUCAGUGUGUUGUUUACGAAUUCUUUAUCGACCGUUGUCAUUACCCUUUUGUUUUAAUAAAUGUAUGGUAGACAAGACAACAGUAUCGUGAAAGGUUAGUCCGAUAGGUUCAGUAGUUCUGUUUGGGCAUGCUCAUUUAUCUUCAUUGAUCCAUCUUUUUACCGCAUAUAUUUGGUUUAAUUGGAUUCUUGCUGUUUUCCGACCUUUUAUGUUGUGCGCUCUGUGCUGAUUCUAACCAGCUGCUUGGAAGUAAGAACUGCUUGCUGAUAUUUUCACCACUUUCUGAUUUGCUAUACAACACUUGUUGCUUCCGAGCCUUUUACAUUUAUAUGCAGAGUCAGGUCAAUUUUACGCUGAAUCCCCAUCAAAAUGCAUACUGUUAGAUAAUAUUUAAUAUUGAUGUAUUGUCACUCAUCCUGAGAAAAUAGAAGUUAACAAGGACUCCAAAAACCCUGAAAAAAAGUGGGGGGAUCGAUUGCACUAGAGGCUUGAGUAGGGAGCAGAGAGCUAUUAGCAGAAGUUUCAAAAAGCUUGAGUCGUCUCUGACUUCAAGUUGUAGCAAUGGCCCAAAAAGCUCGAGCGAUGACCUGAAAGGCUCUGGGACAUCGAUAAAACCAAAACUCUUGAGUGAUAAUGAGAAAUGCAUUAUGAGACUGGCAAAACAAAUGCUAAAACAUGAUGAGAUUCACAGUCGGCUGGUUGAUGCUGAGAAAAAACGAUGCGCUGCUCGGGUAGCACAGUUUGACAUGCUUCCUGAACGAGUUGUUUCAAAAACUCCUUUUGAAGAGAAACCAUUUGGCCAUCUAGUCCAACCUGGGAUGACAUUUUAUGAUACCAGUGCGAAUCAUAUGCAAUAUGUGUCCUCCACUGUUGUCUCGCUUGCUUUGUUUGAUGGUGAUUAUGCUGCUAUAUCCUUAUGAAUUUUAUGCAGAACUAUUCAUGUCACAAAGGAACUGAAAUGAUACCUUUUUA